UUAUUUUGAAUUUAAAAGAUGGAUAAGCAUCCUAUUGUUAUCAUUUAGACCCAACCAGCAUGGCAAUCAAGAGAGAAAAACCUAGCCCCACGCGUAGAAAUCCAUCUCCUAUAACCUGGGGGGCCACUCCGUAUAAUGGAGAGGUUCCUGGGUGACAGCAUGUAACAUUUCUUCCCACUCACUCUGUCCAGCCAAAAACUCUGUUUCAUCAAUACCAACUAAGUUAUAUGUAAAGAACAAAAGAAAUAAAAAUAGAUAUAAACAACACAUAGGAAUUGUUAAGAAAAAGAUUCAAGCAACAAUGGCAUAGUUCAUAAUUAAUAUGUCAAAAGCUUCUCCAAAGUACUUUCUAAGCUUCUUACUUCUGUUAGUUGCCCUUUUUUUUUUUUGGUGAAUUACGCAAAUCCCGAACAACAAACACGAUUAGAUAAAAUUAGACAUAUAAGGAAAAUAUUAGACAAAAUUUCCAUAAAAAUUAAAAUAAUAUAUCUUCAUAAUUCAAUUAUUUAAAUUUGUUCUUGUUUUAUCCCAAUACAGUUUUUGCCUUCAAAAAUCACAUAUCUUGUUAAUUUAAUUAUUUAAAUUUAUUUUUUGUUUUAUCCAAAUACACUUUUUGCCUUCAAAAAUUAAAAGAAAAAAGAACCACAAGAAUAAAUUAGUUGCUAUUUUUCCACUUAUAAGGGAAACAAACCAUAUUAUCAUCAAAGGCAAAUAAUAUAUUUCAAAAAGAAGCUUAAAAUUCAAAAUAGUAAUAAUGUUGGACAAAGGCAACAUGUGAUUUUAUGUUUCAAUUACUAUUUACUUAGAUUUUUCAUAGGUGGCUAUCCGCUCAAGCUUGAAGGCCUAUCUGAAAUUUAAGAGAGUUUGGGUAAAAAAUAUUAGGCUCGAAAAAUAAGUUUAGAAAAAAAAUUAGACCCAAUUAAAAAUGAGUCAAGCUCGGUCUUGAACAUUCAAGGUCUAAGUUCAACCCGACUCGACCUAUUUUUAAGUUUAUAAUAUUUUAUAUUAUGUUAUUUUUAUAAAUUAUCUAAUUUAAAACAUAUUAAAAAUAAUAAUGUUAAAAUGAGUAUAUAAAAAAUUUCAAUAAAUAAAAAAUUUAUAAAAUUAUUAAACAUUAAAAUAAUAUAAUAUAAAUAUUUUAAAAAAUUAAAAAUAAUAUAAGUAGGCCUAAAAUAGGCUUGGGUUAGUCUUUUGUAAACAAGUAGGUUUAAGCAAAAUUUUAAGCCCAUAUUUAAGGUCAGGGCGAACUUGGGCAAAUAUAAAAUAUGUUAAUAUCACGCAUAGACCCAAACCCAGCCUAUGAGCACCUCUAUAUUUACUGUAUAAUUUUACUUUUAGAAUAUGAAGCAUGUAUCUAAAUUUCAUUUUUGGGUUAAAAUUUUCAAAUUAUUAACUUCUGUCCUAAAUGUAAAUUAAAUUAUAUAAAAAUGCUAAGGAAUUUUUCAAUGCAAUUUAAAGAAGAAAAAACCUAAAGGAGAGGUAGAGAAAGAGAGGACGAAAUUACCUUCCGUCCACCCUCAAUGCGGACAGGAUUUCCGCCUAGACUAAGAUAAAUAUCUUUCUUGGAAGAGAAAGAGUCCAAUGUAGGAAUUAAAUCCUGGUAUUGACAUGGCAACAAGCUUUCCCAAGCAGUAUCCAAUUCAGCAGUCGAUAAUCUGUAAAUUUUAUUAUCCAUAAUUCAAUUGGUAUUCUAACAAAUAAUAAUUCAAUCAAAAAAAUAUAAACUCACGAAUCCAAGCCCAAAUUUGAGUCACAUAGAUUAGGCGUGACGGACCUGAUCUCAAUCCCCUGGAAAAUGAGAUCACCUUUCACGAUACCGCCCUCAAUCUCCAAUGCACUCAUUUCUAGUUCCCCAUCAUCAACGCAUCCCUCAUUGAAGAACUCACCCAUCUCAACCUCUAACCACCCGUCUACUCUAGCCUUUGGGAACUGAACAUCAUCACCGGGUAUAGGUUGUUCCUCUCCUAUCUGCCAAUAUGGCCAUCUCCGUCGUUCUUUUUUUGGUUGCAAAUAGGCACUUCUUUUACUACCUUCAGUGCCAACAACUCCAACACUAAGUUUCACUGGGAAAAAUUGAAGCCCACAAAAAUUACGUACUUUGCAUACAAGGUAAGCCUUGUAGUGCGUCAUGGGUGAAAGCAUGGAGAUACUAAUCCUUCCACGGAUUUCAAACCAGCGAAAUCUCCGAAUAUAUGCUACCUCGUCAAACCUAUUUUAAAAACAAUGGAAAAUGAAUUGCCAAAGAGAAGUUCUCUUAUUCAAACACAGGUAUCCAUCAAAGAUGAAUAUGCAAGUAUUUUCUCUUAAAAGAUUUUCAAUUAUUUUGACUUUAAAAGAUGGAUAAGCAUCCUCUUGUUAUCAUUUAGACCCAACCAGCAUGGCAAGGAGGAGAGAGUAACCUAGCCCCACGCGUAGAAAUCCAUCUCCGAUACUCUGGGGGGUCACUCCCUAUAAUGGAGAGGUCCCUGGAUGACAGCAUGUAACAUUUCUUCCCACUCAUUCUUUCCAACCAAAAACUCUGUUUCA
rnacentral:lncRNA from 1 species